UACGGAGGGUGCAAGCGUUGUCCGGAAUUAUUGGGUGUAAAGGGUGUGUAGGCGGGAUCGUAAGUCAGGGGUGAAAGGUCACAGCUUAACUGUGACAUUGCCUUUGAUACUGCGGUCCUUGAGUGUCGGAGGGGCCACUAGAAUUCGUGGUGUAGCGGUGAAAUGCGUAGAUAUCACGAGGAAUACCAGAGGCGUAGGCGGGUGGCUGGACGACAACUGACGCUGAGGCACGAAAGCGUGGGGAGCGAAC
rnacentral:rRNA from 1 species